rnacentral:lncRNA from 1 species
AGGAAACUUAAAGACAACAGUAGAAACCAGAAAGCAGAAAAAAGGAACAAGAAAGAAGGCUCCCUGCAAACCCCAACCCUUUGAAUAUGUCCAAAUUCAUCAAAUUGUACAGUAGCAGCCUGACUGAAGUCUGCCCUGGGGACAAAUCGCAAAACCUAUAACCUAAGGACAGCAAGAUGGAGUCUCGCUCUUUCACCCAGACUGGAGUGCAAUGGUGAGAUCUCAGCUCACUACAACCUCUGCCUCCCAGGAUCAAGUGAUUCUCCUGCCUCAGCCUCCCAAGUAGCUGGGAUUACAGCCAGCUGAAAUUUUGAGAGCCACCUUACAGAGAACCUAACAGCAAAGACUGGAGAGAGGCUUCCAGCCAACAGCCAGCAAGGAAUUGAAGCCCUCGGUCCAAUAGCAGCAGUGAGGAACUGAAUCCUGCCAACAGCCUCGUGGAUGCGUUGCUUGCUGCCUGACUCUAACUCCUGCUACUACUGCAAACACCACUGCCAUGAAUAUCUUCAGCAAGACCUCCUUCCAGACCUGCACGAACAGUUGCGUGAAAUGUAUAUGCACAAACGGAUUGCAACGGAAGACCUAGAGACUAGGGAAGAACUUGGAACAAUAAUCUCAGUUUCUUCAUUUCCUAAACUGAGAGUGUUGCUGUUUUUAAAUGAAGGCCGACUGAUUCACGCUGGGCUUCAGACAUGAGAGGUUAGGAGUAGGAGGCAUGCCUCGUUCAAAGUAACUCCUCCAGGGGACACCAGCAUCUCUUCUGACUCUUUGUUUCCAUGUCUUGAGGAAGCAGCCUCUUGCCUAUGGCCGUCUGAGGAAGCCAUCUUGGAAGCAGCCCACCCAGCCCCAGUCAAGCCUUCAGAUGACUGCAGUCUCAGCUGACAUCUUGACUUUAACAACAAGAACAACAACAACAACAAAAACUCCAAGCCAGAACUACCCACCUGGAAUUUGAGGGCUGCUUUCAAAUUCCUGAUCCAUAGAAACUUAGAUAAUAAAUGUUUGUUGUUUUAAGCCACGCAUUUUUAGAGAAAUUUGUUAUGCAGCAAUAGAAAGCUAGUACAGAGAAUAAACCAGCCUCUCUUAAAUUACCACCAUAAAACCAACUACCUAUUUUAUUAAAAGGUAAAACCAGCUGCUGAAGAACUUUUUUCCUCUCAAGGCUUUGGCACUUGAGGUUCAACAGUAAGAAGAAUUGAAGAGUGAAGGCUUCCUGGCUACCCUCUGGCAUCCUGUGUUUGGUCUGAAGCCUGAUAAGCCUGGGUUGCUCUUCCAGUCCACCUUGUAUGAGACUGAUGUGGAAAAAUGUGUCUCUUCUCAAGGGCUAACUCUGGAACCCUAGGAAAAUAUUCUAGAUUUGGAUCAUAUUAAAAUGGGUAUUAGACCUAGGUUCUAGUUCCAGCUCUAAGAUCUGGAUGUGUCAAAAUCCUUUUCCCUUUGUAGGUUUUUAAGUUUGGUCUCUUUAAAUAAAGAAACAAUCACCC